rnacentral:rRNA from 1 species
UACGUAGGGUGCGAGCGUUGUCCGGAAUUACUGGGCGUAAAGAGCUCGUAGGUGGUUUGUCGCGUUGUUCGUGAAAACUCACAGCUCAACUCUGGGCAUGCGGUCGAUACGGGCAUCACUAGAGUUCGGCAGGGGAGACUGGAAUUCCUGGUGUAGCGGUGAAAUGCGCAGAUAUCAGGAGGAACACCGGUGGCGAAGGCGGGGUCUCUGGGCCGAUACUGACGCUGAGGAGCGAAAGCAUGGGUAGCGAACAGG